UACGUAGGGUGCGAGCGUUGUCCGGAAUUAUUGGGCGUAAAGAGCUUGUAGGCGGUUUGUCGCGUCUGCUGUGAAAAAUCCGGGGCUCAACCCCGGACUUGCAGUGGGUACGGGCAGACUAGAGUGUGGUAGGGGGAGACUGGAAUUCCUGGUGUAGCGGUGGAAUGCGCAGAUAUCAGGAGGAACACCGAUGGCGAAGGCAGGUCUCUGGGCCACUACUGACGCUGAGAAGCGAAAGCAUGGGGGAGCGAACAGG
rnacentral:rRNA from 1 species